UACGAAGGGGGCUAGCGUUGCUCGGAAUUACUGGGCGUAAAGCGCACGUAGGCGGUCUUUUAAUUCGGGGGUGAAAUCCUGGAGCUCAACUCCAGAACUGCCUUCGAUACUGGAAGACUUGAGUCCGGGAGAGGUGAGUGGAACUGCGAGUGUAGAGGUGAAAUUCGUAGAUAUUCGCAAGAACACCAGUGGCGAAGGCGGCUCACUGGACCGGUAUUGACGCUGAUGUGCGAAAGCGUGGGGAGCAAACAGGG
rnacentral:rRNA from 1 species